UUUAAUUUUAAUUUAGUUAUAAGUUAAUUAUAUUUUAUUUGAAUAUAUAAAUUUUUAAUAAAUAUAUUUUAUUUAAAUAAUAAAAUUAAAAAUAAUUUAAUUUAUAGAAUUAUUAACAUUUAAUAAUUUAACUAUAGAUAAAAAUUUAAUACAGAAAAAUUAUGUGCCAGCAUUUGCGGUUAAACAUAAUGUAUAUAUUAAUAAAAUUUGUAAUCAAUAAUUUAUAAAUUUUUAUAAGUUUAAAUUUAAAAUUUUAUAUUAAGAUGAAAUUAAUUUAUUUUAUUUAAUUUAAAUAUAUAUAUUAUAUAAAUUUUUUGCUAAAAUUUUUUUUUUAAACUAGGAUUAGAUACCCCAUUAUUUAAAAUUAAACUUAUUAUUAUAGAAUAUUAAAUUUUUUUUAUUUAAAAAUUAAAAAUUAUGGCGGUAUUUUUAUUUGUUCAGGGGAACUUGAAUUUUUAAAUUGAUAGUCCACGAUAAAAUUAACUAAUUUAAUUAUAUUUAUGUAUGUUCGAAAUAAAAAUAUUUUAUUAAAAUUUUUAAUAUUUAUAAAAUUAAUUUAUAAAUUGUAUUUCAGAUCAAUAUGUGAUUUUUAAGUUAGAAAGUUUUGAGUUACAAAAAAAUAGAGUUUAAUAAAUUUAAAAUUAGUUUUUUAUAUUUUUAAGGAUUUGAAAUUAAAUAUAUUAAUUUUUUAUAUUGAAUUUAAUUAAAAAUAUGUACAAAUUGCCCGUCACUUUUAUAACAUUAAAAUAAGUCGUAACAAAGUAAGUGUACUGGAAAGUGUAUUUAGGGGUAUAUUUU
rnacentral:rRNA from 1 species